GCUACUGUGGUGAAAUAGGCAUACACGAGGGACUUAAAAUCCCUUUCUUAAUUGAGUGCGGGUUCAAGUCCCGCCAGUAGCACCA
rnacentral:tRNA from 1 species